rnacentral:rRNA from 1 species
UGCAGUCGAACGGUAACAGGUCUUCGGAUGCUGACGAGUGGCGAACGGGUGAGUAAUACAUCGGAACGUGCCCGAUCGUGGGGGAUAACGGAGCGAAAGCUUUGCUGAUACCGCAUACGAUCUACGGAUGAAAGCAGGGGACCGCAAGGCCUUGCGCGGACGGAGCGGCCGAUGGCAGAUUAGGUAGUUGGUGGGAUAAAAGCUUACCAAGCCGACGAUCUGUAGCUGGUCUGAGAGGACGACCAGCCACACUGGGACUGAGACACGGCCCAGACUCCUACGGGAGGCAGCAGUGGGGAAUUUUGGACAAUGAGCGAAAGCCUGAUCCAGCCAUGCCGCGUGCAGGAUGAAGGCCUUCGGGUCGUAAACUGCUUUUGUACGGAACGAAAAGACUCCUUCUAAUAAAGGGGGUUCAUGACGGUACCGUAAGAAUAAGCACCGGCUAACUACGUGCCAGCAGCCGCGGUAAUACGUAGGGUGCAAGCGUUGAUCGGAAUUACUGGGCGUAAAGCGUGCGCAGGCGGUUAUAUAAGACAGAUGUGAAAUCCCCGGGCUCAACCUGGGAACUGCAUUUGUGACUGUAUAGCUAGAGUACGGUAGAGGGGGAUGGAAUUCCGCGUGUAGCAGUGAAAUGCGUAGAUAUGCGGAGGAACACCGAUGGCGAAGGCAAUCCCCUGGACCUGUACUGACGCUCAUGCACGAAAGCGUGGGGAGCAAACAGGAUU